rnacentral:rRNA from 1 species
CAGUAGCCGCGGGAAUACGUAGGUCCCGAGCGUUGUCCGGGUUUAUUGGGCGUAAAGCGAGCGCAGGCGGUUAGAUAAGUCUGAAGUUAAAGGCUGUGGCUUAACCAUAGUACGCUUUGGAAACUGUUUAACUUGAGUGCAAGAGGGGAGAGUGGAAUUCCAUGUGUAGCGGUGAAAUGCGUAGAUAUAUGGAGGAACACCGGUGGCGAAAGCGGCUCUCUGGCUUGUAACUGACGCUGAGGCUCGAAAGCGUGGGGAGCAAACAGGAUUAGAUACCCCGGUAGUCCCUGUCUCUUAUACC